rnacentral:rRNA from 1 species
UACGUAGGGUGCAAGCGUUGCUCGGAAUCAUUGGGCGUAAAGAGCGUGUAGGUGGCUAGAUAAGUCAGACGUGAAAUCCCUCGGCUUAACCGGGGAACUGCAUCUGAUACUGGAUGGCUUGAGUUCGGGAGAGGGAUGCGGAAUUCCAGGUGUAGCGGUGAAAUGCGUAGAUAUCUGGAGGAACACCGGUGGCGAAGGCGGCAUCCUGGACCGACACUGACGCUGAGGAGCGAAAGCCAGGGGAGCAAACGGG